rnacentral:misc_RNA from 1 species
GAAUUGUGAAACAAACGUUUCUUAACAUCAUUGAAACCGAUAGAGGAGAUGGAGAUGUGGAUGUUGAAGGGAGAGGUGGAAGAGAGAUAAGAAAGACGGAAGAUGAGAGUGAUGCAAAGGAAAUGUGGAUUAGAUCAAUGGUACAUGGGAGGAACGGAACUAUCCUGACCAAGAGACCCAUAACCCCAUCAGAAGAGGAAGAAAAAUUGAAUAGCCGGAGCAGAAGUG